rnacentral:rRNA from 1 species
GAUGAACGCUGGCGGCGUGCCUAAUACAUGCAAGUCGAGCGAACAGACGAGGAGCUUGCUCCUCUGACGUUAGCGGCGGACGGGGGAGUAACACGUGGAUAACCUACCUAUAAGACUGGGAUAACUUCGGGAAACCGGAGCUAAUACCGGAUAACAUGUUGAACCGCAUGGUUCAACAGUGAAAGACGGUCUUGCUGUCACUUAUAGAUGGAUCCGCGCCGCAUUAGCUAGUUGGUAAGGUAACGGCUUACCAAGGCAACGAUGCGUAGCCGACCUGAGAGGGUGAUCGGCAACACUGGAACUGAGACACGGUCCAGACUCCUACGGGAGGCAGCAGUAGGGAAUCUUCGGCAAGGGGCGGAAGCCUGACGGAGCAACGCCGCGUGAGUGAAGAAGGUCUUCGGAUCGUAAAACUCUGUUAGUAGGGAAGAACAAAUGCGAAAGCAACUGUGCACGUCUUGACGGUACCUAAUCAGAAAGCCACGGCUAACUACGUG